rnacentral:tRNA from 1 species
GCGGGCGUAGUUCAGUGGUAGAACGUCAGCUUCCCAAGCUGAAUGUCGUGGGUUCGAGUCCCAUCGCCCGCUCCA